rnacentral:rRNA from 1 species
GACGAACGCUGGCGGCGUGCUUAACACAUGCGAGUCGAACGGAAAGGCCCUGCUUUUGUGGGGUGCUCGAGUGGCGAACGGGUGAGUAACACGUGAGUAACCUGCCCUUGACUUUGGGAUAACUUCAGGAAACUGGGGCUAAUACCGGAUAGGAGCUCCUGCUGCAUGGUGGGGGUUGGAAAGUUUCGGCGGUUGGGGAUGGACUCGCGGCUUAUCAGCUUGUUGGUGGGGUAGUGGCUUACCAAGGCUUUGACGGGUAGCCGGCCUGAGAGGGUGACCGGCCACAUUGGGACUGAGAUACGGCCCAGACUCCUACGGGAGGCAGCAGUGGGGAAUAUUGCACAAUGGGCGGAAGCCUGAUGCAGCAACGCCGCGUGCGGGAUGACGGGCCUCGGUGUAACGUACGUUCGUCCUCGUGACGAAGACGUGAGUGA